GGGAACAUACCCCUCGGUUCGGAAUAACUCAGGGAAACUUGAGCUAAUACCGGAUACGUCCGAGGUUUUAAUCGACCUCGGAGAAAGAUUUAUCGCCGGAGGAUUGGCCCGCGUCUGAUUAGCUUGUUGGUGAGGUAAUGGCUCACCAAGGCGACGAUCAGUAGCUGGUCUGAGAGGAUGAUCAGCCACAUUGGGACUGAGACACGGCCCAAACUCCUACGGGAGGCAGCAGUGGGGAAUAUUGGACAAUGGGCGAAAGCCUGAUCCAGCCAUGCCGCGUGAGUGAUGAAGGCCUUAGGGUUGUAAAGCUCUUUUACCCGGGAAGAUAAUGACGGUACCGGGAGAAUAAGCCCCGGCUAACUUCGUGCCAGCAGCCGCGGUAAUACGAAGGGGGCUAGCGUUGUUCGGAAUUACUGGGCGUAAAGCGCACGUAGGCGGAUCUUUAAGUCAGGGGUGAAAUCCCGAGGCUCAACCUCGGAACUGCCUUUGAUACUGGGGAUAUCGAGUCCGGGAGAGGUGAGUGGAACUGCGAGUGUAGAGGUGAAAUUCGUAGAUAUUCGCAAGAACACCAGUGGCGAAGGCGGCUCACUGGCCCGGUACUGACGCUGAGGUGCGAAAGCGUGGGGAGCAAACAGGAUUAGAUACCCUGGUAGUCCACGCCGUAAACGAUGGAUGCUAGCCGUUAGACAGCUUGCUGUUUAGUGGCGCAGUUAACGCGUUAAGCAUCCCGCCUGGGGAGUACGGUCGCAAGAUUAAAACUCAAAGGAAUUGACGGAAUCGA
rnacentral:rRNA from 1 species